UUGCACGCUGGCGGCAUGAUUUACACAUGCAAGUCGAACGGUAACAGGCCGCAAGGUGCUGACGAGUGGCGAACGGGUGAGUAAUGCAUCGGAACGUGCCCAGUCGUGGGGGAUAACUACUCGAAAGAGUAGCUAAUACCGCAUACGAUCUAUGGAUGGAAGCGGGGGACCGUAAGGCCUCGCGCGAUUGGAGCGGCCGAUGUCAGAUUAGGUAGUUGGUGGGGUAAAGGCUCACCAAGCCAACGAUCUGUAGCUGGUCUGAGAGGACGACCAGCCACACUGGGACUGAGACACGGCCCAGACUCCUACGGGAGGCAGCAGUGGGGAAUUUUGGACAAUGGGCGCAAGCCUGAUCCAGCAAUGCCGCGUGCAGGAAGAAGGCCUUCGGGUUGUAAACUGCUUUUGUACGGAACGAAACGGCUCUGGUUAAUACCCGGGGCUAAUGACGGUACCGUAAGAAUAAGCACCGGCUAACUACGUG
rnacentral:rRNA from 1 species